AUUGAACGCUGGCGGCAGGCCUAACACAUGCAAGUCGAGCGAGCGGCGGACGGGUGAGUAUUGUCUGGGAAACUGCCGGAUGUAGGGGGAGAACUACUGGAAACGGUAGCUAAUACCGCCUACCAUCAGUUGUGACCAGAUGGGAUUAGCUAGUAGGUGGGGUAAUGGCUCACCUAGGGGACGAUCCCUAGCUGGUCUGCGAGGAUGACCAGCCACACGGGAACUGAGACACGGCCCAGACUCCUACGGGAGGCAGCAGUGGGGAAUAUUGCACAAGGGGGGCAAGCCGGAUGCAGCAAGGCCGCGUGUGGGAAGAAGGCCUUCGGGUUGUAAAGCACGUUCAGCGGGGAGGCGUUACCCGAAGAAGAAGCACCGGCUAACUCCGUGCCAGCCGCCGCGGUAAUAC
rnacentral:rRNA from 1 species